GGUCUGAGAGGAUGAUCAGUCACACUGGAACUGAGACACGGUCCAGACUCCUACGGGAGGCAGCAGUAGGGAAUAUUGCGCAAUGGGGGAAACCCUGACGCAGCAACGCCGCGUGGAGGAUGACACUUUUCGGAGCGUAAACUCCUUUUCUUAGGGAAGAAUUCUGACGGUACCUAAGGAAUAAGCACCGGCUAACUCCGUGCCAGCAGCCGCGGUAAUACGGAGGGUGCAAGCGUUACUCGGAAUCACUGGGCGUAAAGGGCGCGUAGGCGGAUUAUCAAGUCUCUUGUGAAAUCUAAUGGCUUAACCAUUAAACUGCUUGGGAAACUGAUAGUCUAGAGUGAGGGAGAGGUAGAUGGAAUUGGUGGUGUAGGGGUAAAAUCCGUAGAUAUCACCAAGAAUACCCAUUGCGAAGGCGAUCUGCUGGAACUCAACUGACGCUAAGGCGCGAAAGCGUGGGGAGCAAACAGGAUUAGAUACCCUGGUAGUCCACGCCCUAAACGAUGUACACUAGUUGUUGGGAUGCUAGUCAUCUCAGUAAUGCAGCUAACGCAUUAAGUGUACCGCCUGGGGAGUACGGUCGCAAGAUUAAAACUCAAAGGAAUAGACGGGGACCCGCACAAGCGGUGGAGCAUGUGGUUUAAUUCGAAGAUACGCGAAGAACCUUACCUGGGCUUGAUAUCCUAAGAACCUUAUAGAGAUAUGAGGGUGCUAGCUUGCUAGAACUUAGAGACAGGUGCUGCACGGCUGUCGUCAGCUCGUGUCGUGAGAUGUUGGGUUAAGUCCCGCAACGAGCGCAACCCACGUAUUUAGUUGCUAACGGUUCGGCCGAGCACUCUAAAUAGACUGCCUUCGUAAGGAGGAGGAAGGUGUGGACGACGUCAAGUCAUCAUGGCCCUUAUGCCCAGGGCGACACACGUGCUACAAUGGCAUAUACAAUGAGACGCAAUACCGCGAGGUGGAGCAAAUCUAUAAAAUAUGUCCCAGUUCGGAUUGUUCUCUGCAACUCGAGAGCAUGAAGCCGGAAUCGCUAGUAAUCGUAGAUCAGCCAUGCUACGGUGAAUACGUUCCCGGGUCUUGUACUCACCGCCCGUCACACCAUGGGAGUUGAUUUCACUCGAAGCCGGAAUACUAAACUAGUUACCGUCCACAGUGGAAUCAGCGACUGGGGUGAAGUCGUAACAAGGUAACCGUAGGAGAACCUGCGGUUGGAUCACCUCCUUUCUA
rnacentral:rRNA from 1 species